UCGAACAACGAAAUUUAUUUCAGAAACAACAGACAAAACAACAAAAUUAUCAAAAAUGACAGACAAAAGCAAAGCACUGAACAUUAAACUAACAAUAAUGGCAGUAAUAAAAUGUUUCACGUUUAUCAGGAAUAGUAUUGUAAUCUAACAAACAAAUAAAUUCAUAACCGCUCUGAUGAGUGGCCACUGAUAAAUAUGGCACCACUAUGUACCAUAGAGGGCGUUUACCUGUUCAGAAGGACAUAACGAAAGGUCUACAAACCCCUGGGACAGCAGGGCUUGGGGUUCCGACCUUAAUCUGCAAACCGCAUGCUAAAUUCUAGAAGAGAAUUGCUGUUAGGCUUACCAUAGUUUGUACAUUGGUAAAUAAUAAGUUUCAAAAAUAUUAACAAAAAGGGCUGAAACAGGAUUUCUGAGAGUUCCACAUAAUGAAAUGCUGGACCUCCUGAAGUAUGCGCACCAAGAUAGCGCACAACCUGAACUCAGGUUGUGUACCAGGUUAGGGUUCAGGUUGUCCAACAUCUUGGUGCGCAUACUUCAGGAGUACCGAAAUGCUAAAUCAUUCACCAAGUAAACAGCAAAAGCAAGUUUUUAUGAAAUCAUACAAAAUUCAACAGAAAAAGACAUCGACCAUCAAAAAAUCACCCAUAAGAAUUCAAGAACGCAUAACUACUUUGAAAGUAUAAUUUUAAUAAGAUGUCAUACAUCUUUCUCAAAACAAAGCACUAGGAAAGCAGCCACCCUAAACAUCGAAAAGAUUUUUAAAAUAUGAACCCCCAUUUUAUAUAUCACAGCUUGAACGCUGUGAAAAAUGCCUCGGCUCCAGGGUUUGAAUUUGAUGUCUGCCUUGCGUUCUCAACAUAUAUGAGUAAUGCACUGAACUAAGGUUCCCACAUACACGAUAUGAUCAGUCGCACACAUUCAAAAUACAGAACAAAUAAUAGUAGCAAGAACAGCCAAGACUAAAUAAUUACAUUUUCAAAAUACAUUCUAAAAUAAUAUUUCUGAAUAUUGAAUGCAUUCCAAAUUUUGUCAAACACCACAUAGAAAGCAAAGUUUUGUCAAUGAGUAUGAAUUUGGAAAUGCAGGAAAGUUGCAGUUGGAAAGUUGAUUGAUUUGUCAUUUUUUUUACAAUUUUGAAUAUAAUUUAUUUUUAAUUAAUUUGAAUCGGUUUGGACAGCCCUGCCUAAGAUGCAUAAGCUUUUAUCACUGUAAACCAAUGUUUCCCAAUGUUAAUUGACCGGGCCUAAAUUAGAAGCAGAAAGAUAUGUGCAGGCCAGUAGAGGAGGCGCCCGCAAGGGACCGAUACCGGUAUCAGUGCAAUUGAGUUGUGACGAAUAUACUUGUGCUUGAACUGUGAUAAUGACGUAACAAUUGACAUGAUCUAUUUUUAUUGGUGGGUAAUAUUAAAUCACCGUGUGAGCAGUAACUGGCCAGCUGGCCGCAGUUCAGGAAUCACUGCUGUAAACCAAAAUAGAUGCAUAUAGCAGUACUCAACAUUGAAACAAACAGUACAAUUAUUUUUUCAUUGUUUGGCACACAGGCAAGCUUACAAUCAGCAGAUAACAAAUAAAAGCUCAGAGCAACAGUUGGGUGGGGGUGUCCAUAAAUAAUAGUGGUUGAUAUUCUAUCAACUUUCUUAAAUUUGAAAACAAUGCUUGAGCACUCUAUGAAUGCUGAGCCACUACUUUUAUUUUCCAUGCAUAUUUAAAGGAAAAGUCAAAAAUUUAAUUAAACUGUGUUGUCAGCUUUACACAAGUAACAAUUUCACAUUUCUUACAAAGGCAGUUCUGGUAGGUAGUAAAAAAAAGCAAAGCAAAGGAGAGACGUAGCCUGAUUAGGAAUAAACUCUAAUUCAGAAAUCAUUGGCAUUAAACUAUAUAGUUUGAUUGAAUACUGAUAUUUCAGCCAUAUUCCAGCUUCGAUGUAAAUUAGUAAUCCAUUUCAAAAAUUGAUAAAAUGGGAACACAAAGUUUUGUCUAAAUUCAUGAAAACACCUUUAAAAAUACCAUUCGGUUUUAUUUGCAAAAUCUCUGGAACAAGCUAUAACUAGUCUCUUGAACAAGAAAUAACAAGUUACCCAAUCCAUUGAAAUUGAGUUACCUAACACUCUCAAACAGGGGAUACUCAAUAUAACUGAGUCCCAUGAACAAGAGCUAAAUGUACAAUGUCCCUUGAACAGAAAAAAAAUGACAAGUCCCAGAAACUGGGGAAAAAUUAAGUAAGCGAGCCAUGUAUGUUUUCCCAUUUUAGUAUCACAGAAUUGCUUUUUUGAAUAUCCUGUAAGAACCACUCUUCAAGCAUAAACGACUGCAACAGAAGCUUCAGGAACUUUUCAGCACAUUUGUUGAAUCUUUUCAUCGAUGUCAUCUAUUAGUGACUUUAAAUUUUGCCACUGCUCGGCUGGAAGGCUGA